rnacentral:rRNA from 1 species
UACGUAGGGGGCGAGCGUUGUCCGGAAUUACUGGGCGUAAAGGGCUCGUAGGCGGCCAACUAAGUCAGACGUGAAAUCCCUCGGCUUAACCGGGGAACGGCCUCUGAUACUGGCUGGCUGGAGUUCGGGAGGGGGAUGCGGAAUUCCAGGUGUAGCGGUGAAAUGCGUAGAUAUCUGGAGGAACACCGGUGGCGAAGGCGGCAUCCUGGACCGACACUGACGCUGAGGAGCGAAAGCCAGGGGAGCAAACGGG